rnacentral:rRNA from 1 species
AUUGAACGCUGGCGGCAGGCCUAACACAUGCAAGUCGGGCGAGCGGCGGACGGGUGAGUAAUGUAUGGGGAUCUGCCUGAUGGCGGGGGAUACCUACUGGAAACGGUAGCUAAUAACGCAUACCCUCAGAUGACCCCAUAUGGGAUUAGCUAGUAGGUAAGGUAACGGCUUAUCUAGGCGUCGAUCCCUAGCUGGUCUGAGAGGAUGAUCAGCCACACUGGGACUGAGACACGGCCCAGACGCCUACGGGAGGCAGCAGUGGGGAAUAGUGCACAAUGGGCGCAAGCCUGAUGCAGCGACGCAGCGUGGGGGAUGAAGGCUUUCGGGUUGUAAACCUCGUUCGCUAUCGAACGGGUAGGUGGAGAAGAAGCGCCGGCUAACUACGUGCCAGCAGCCGCGGUAAUUC